rnacentral:lncRNA from 1 species
GCAUCAUCUAGUUACAGCUAAAUGUUUACCAAGAUGAGAAGUCACAGUGUUCAAGAGUGACUGAGAGGCAGGUUGCUAGUGAACAGACCAGAUAAGCAGAGUGAGAAGGCAGCAGCUGCAGCUCAGCAUCCCCACUGUUACAAGAGGAAUGCCGCCUAUAUGGUUUCUAUAUGCUGCCUUUAAAUACAAGACUCUCAGAAAAAUCCAGGAAACAGAAGAGUGGGAAGGUGCUGAGAGGGAAGUGGGAAGCUUAGAUCUGCUUACAGCUCUGCCCCGACCCUCUGACCUUCUGCAAGUCACUGCCACGCUCUGCCCUCCUAUACAUACCUUUGUCCUUAGUGCUGCUCUGACAGCACAAAGAGUAACCUGAGAGAUGUCCCAAGCAAAAGGAGAACCUUGUAAUCUAUGGGUUUAUCUUCAUUCCUCCUUAUCUACUUAAGCUUAUCUACUAUCUACUCAGUGCUACAGCUAGCUGUUUCCAGGGUUGACUGGAGAUCCCUUUAUUCUG